rnacentral:SRP_RNA from 1 species
CCGUGCUAAGUGGGGAGGUAGCGGUUCCUUGAACUUGAAAUCCGCUUAUGCAAGACCGAAUUCUCUUCUGAGGAUUGUAGGUUGUGAGGUCUGCCCUGAAUACGUAGUGUUGAGAGAGCGGUCCUAACCAAUAUGAACCCAUGAACCAUGUCAGGUCCGGAAGGAAGCAGCAUUAAGUGGUCAUUCGUAUGUGAUUGGGGUAGCCGUUCUUGAGCUGUCGACUUAGGUAACGCUUGUGUCUACACUUCGAAGUUGAGAUGCACGG